UUUGAUUCAUAUAUGCAACUACAGAAAUGGACUCCCCAUUCUGCAGACUGUUUGAGAUGAGGUCUCUUGGUCUGCUUUUCAUUCUAUCUCUGCAGACUGUUUGAGAUGAGGUCUCUUGGUCUGCCUUUCAUUCUAUCUCUGCAGACUGUUUGAGAUGAGGUCUCUUGGUCUGCUUUUCAUUCUACCCCUGCAGAUUCUGCUUUUCAUUUUAUCCCUGCAGACUGUUUGAGAUGAGGUCUCUUGGUCUGCCUUUCAUUUUAUCCCUGCAGACUGUUUGAGAUGAGGUCUCUUGGUCUGCCUUUCAUUCUAUCUCUGCAGACUGUUUGAGAUGAGGUCUCUUGGUCUGCUUUUCAUUCUAUCUCUGCAGACUGUUUGAGAUGAGGUCUCUUGGUCUGCUUUUCAUUCUACCCCUGCAGAUUCUGCCUUUCAUUCUACCCCUGCAGGAUGUUUGAGAUGAGGUCUCUUGGUCUGCUUUUCAUUCUACCCCUGCAGAUUCUGCCUUUCAUUCUACCCCUGCAGGAUGUUUGAGAUGAGGUCUCUUGGUCUGCCUUUCAUUCUAUCCCUGCAGGAUGUUUGAGAUGAGGUCCCUUGGUCUUUGGUCUGUGGCUGUUUCAGGUUUUACAGGGAAAGGUGAAAGGGGAGAGGAGGGCAUAUAUAUCUUGUUUUUCUUGCCAGAUGGCCCCAGAAAUAUAAGCUGUUUAGCUUGUUUGAUGGAUCAAAUGAAAAGGCCACAUAAAGCACUGAAUUGGAUUGGGAUCUGAACAACUGUGUUGGUGUGUCUUCAGGCUGUGCUGUCGACCUUCAAACAAAGUUAUUGUUGUAAGAGCCAAACCUUUUGGACAUGUUUGGUCACGGCGUAAUUGGAUUGUUGUACAACGGAGGAUGAGGAUGAGGAUCUGUGAAUCGCCGAUUUUUUAAAAACUUCUAUAUGAGAACCACAACAUUU